rnacentral:sRNA from 1 species
GCAGGGCGUGGUGGCUCACGCCUGUAAUCCCAGCACUUUGGGAGGCAGAGGUGGGCGGAUCACCUGAGGUCAGGAGUUCAAGACCGGCCUGACCAAUAUGGUGAAACCCCAUCUCUA